CUUCCUUCCUUCCUUCCUUCCUUCCUUCCUUCCUUCCUGCGUCCAAACGCCCUGCUGCUCCUGAAUCAGGUUCCUCAGAUAUACUYAUCUCUACCUGCGAUCUCGUUCUUUCAGUCACGACCCAAAGCUUGUGACUGCAGAUCACUGAUAAAUCAAGACUCCAGUUCUUCUUUUGGACAGGACCAUGACACUUGACCUCCUCCACAGGGGCARGACCUCUUCCCCGACCCAGAGAAGGCGCUCUGUCCUUUCCCGGGUCUCGGAUUUGGAGGCACAGAUCCCCAUCCCGGCCGCCUCACAGUCGGCUUUGACCUGCUGCUGUAGAUUUUGGUCUGAUGAAGCCAGUAGGACGACAUGAUCCAUGCAGUGCUAARGCUAACACUCCCAGAGAGCGAGCUGCUCUUUGCCUCUCAUCUCCAAGCAUCAAAUGCUGCUUCACUCUGCGCCGAGCAGCGAUUCAAAGGAAG